CACACACAGUCACCCACCGAGACGCAGAGCCCCAAGUGGAAAACAGGAAACGCCCUAAUCACAAGGGUUUGCAACACAAGAUUAGGCUGCAACAUCUUGUGACCGAAAGACACACACAGACAUGUCAAAACAACUUGCACACCACACACACACACACACGCGCACACACACGCACAUAACUUCUCCCUUUUGUCGAGCAUUCAAGGACAAAGGACUUACACCAGAACCAAUAGGAGAAGGACACCAGCAACACCGAGGAAGGAGCUGAACCCGAGGACCAAUCAGACGAGAGGAACCUCCUAGACUCAACCUACAUAAUUUAUUGUAUAAAAUGUCAAUGCACAAUGUCUCGGGGCCUUUCUCUGAUAGUUCCCUCUGAGCUAAAUGAACGGGUCCGUGCAUGCUUUGUCAGAUAUUUUUACCUUUAAUAAACUGCCUUAAAUCAUACCUCAUCCACCUGGUCCAGCGUCUCAACUUGGUCUCACUCCUCUAGUAACUGUAUCAUCAACAAAACAUGGUAGCAGAGGAUGGUUGUGAGAGGAGAGGCAAGUUGGAGGCAAAUCCAGAGAGACGGGUGACCUGAAAAGGAGCCGCCGGGGAUUCAUCUCACCUCAGGAACCUGAUCUAAAAAGUUGACUAAACAAAGCUCUCUCCAAACAGAUCCACAAGGUCCAAGAGGGGGAGCUGACGGGAGAUCCGGUGCCACUGAAGGUAAAGGUUGGUGACUGGGUGAGGGUGAAGGUCCACAAGAGGAAGUGGCUUGAACCCAGGUGGGCUGGACCGUACGAAGUGAAGGAGGUUACUUCACACUCAGUCCAGGUCAAAGUUAAAUCGGGCGCACCUUGGCACCACCUCACACAUUGCACCCCAGCACCAACUCCUUCCAGAACAUUGACUGAGGUCAGGGCCGAUUUGAACGCCCUCAAUUUGACACCAAAUUCAGUUCCUCUGCCCUGUGACGAUGUGGAUGAGACUCCCAUCAACACAGGCUAGAGGGCCUAACCCAGGGAUGAGAUACAGAAAUCCCUGGGAUAGGCUGGGGAUCGCUGGUCCCUUGUUUGUUAUUUUCAUCCUAAUCACUGGAGUUUCCUUAGGAACCCUCACGUGGUUAUUACAGCACAUGACACAUCCACCUAUCUCACACCCCAGCCAAGCUAAUGUCACAUCUAGCACCACUCUAUACAACAUCACUGAACACACCCAGAGCCAUGCGAUACGCAAAUGACACAUUGGACCAAUCACCCAGAAUUGCGCAACUGACCAAGUGAGAAGCACUACCCUAUGUGUUCCUGUAAACACAACCACCACUGUUACCGUACCUUGGGGAAUGCUAGAGAGCUCUAGAAACAGUGGUAAUGGGCCACUAUGGCAGACCACUUAUCAUUGGUACAUGACAAAAGGGGGCCUAGAUGACUGGUCCUGGAAAAAUCUUGUCGCCGAAACGGGCCCAGACUGGUCAAGCUACUCAAGAGGAGCAGACGUAAGAUUAUGGCGAAGUAAGCUCACACUCACGAAGUUGCAGGUGGGCCUGUAGAUGGUUAUUCCACCCGGGGUGAGGGAGGGUUGCCAAUCUUUUGUGUUGGCCCCAUGGAUGCAGUACAGGGGUGCACCAUUGUAUAUUUACUAUUUUAAAUGGAUUUUACAUAUCUGCUUUGUGCCAGCUCCCAUCCCAUCCUCUGUCACUAUAAAGGAUGAGCCGACAAAGGUGGUGGAGGCUGGAGGUCUGGGCAGGUGGGGACCCGACAUACAUAGAUGGCAUAGGGGUCCCAAAGGGGGUUCCAGAUGAGUACAAAUUGAUAGACCAAGUGGCAGCAGGUUUUGAAUCAUCUAUCUGCUGGUGGUGUACAGUAAACAAAAAUGUUGACAGAAUAAAUUAUAUCCAUUACAACGUGCAAAAACUAGGCAAUUGGACACAACAAGGCUUUGAAGCGGUACAUGGUCAACUGUCUGCAACUUCCCUCAUGGCCUUCCAAAAUCGUAUUGCUAUUGAUAUGUUACUGGCCGAGAAAGGCGGGGUCUGUUCCAUGUUUGGGGAACAAUGAAGAAACACUUUGGGGUAGACACCUCCAUGUGGGACUCAUGGAUGGAUGCGUUUGGCAAGUAUAAAACCCUGGUCUCAUCUAUCCUCGUUUCCAUUUCGGUCUUUGCAGCCAUCCUAGUCCUUUGUGGGUGCUGUUGCAUUCCAUGUGCCCGUACAUUGACUACUAGGGUUAUCACAUCGGCUAUUGAUCCGAAUUAAACUAGCCAAAUGUAUCCCUUGCUUGUAGUGGAGGAAGCUGAAGGUCUGUAUGAUGAAGGACUCUAUUAGCCCAUGUGCCACGUCUCUUGUGAGACGUGAAGAGGGGGAUUUGUAAUAAAUAUAUCAUGCUAACAUUAUAAGCUUGCUAGUUGCAACAUAGAAUUUAAUCAUACACUUAUUAAGUAGGGCGUUGUUGGAACCCAUCCGGUAUUACUUAAGUUGUCUACUGAGCCUCUCUACAAUGUUUGGUCAGUGUUUGGCCAACACACUGAAACAGGGUGAGCCAAUAUAGAUUAGGCAUUGCACGGUAUCGAGUGAGCACACACACACACACACAGUCACCCACCAAGACGCAGAACCCCAAGUGGAAAACAGGAAACGCCCUAAUCACAAGGGUUUGCAACACAAGAUUAGGCUGCAACAUCUUGUGACCGAAAGACACACACAGACAUGUCAAAACAACUUGCACACCACACACACACACACACACACACACGCACACACACACGCACAUAACUUCUCCCUUUUGUCGAGCAUUCAAGGACAAAGGACUUACACCAGAACCAAUAGGAGAAGGACACCAGCAACACCGAGGAAGGAGCUGAACCCGAGGACCAAUCAGACGAGAGGAACCUCCUAGACUCAACCUACAUCAUUUAUUGUAUAAAAUGUCAAUGCACAAUGUCUCGGGGCCUUUCUCUGAUAGUUCCCUCUGAGCUAAAUGAACGGGUCCGUGCAUGCUUUGUCAGAUAUUUUUACCUUUAAUAAACUGCCUUAAAUCAUACCUCA